GUCUAUGGCCAUACCACCCUGAACGCGUCCAAUCUCGUCUGAUCUCUCGAGGCUAAGUAGGGUCAGGCCUGGUUAGUACUUAACUGGGAGACCGCCUGGGAAUAACGGGUGCUGUAGGCU
rnacentral:rRNA from 2 species